rnacentral:lncRNA from 1 species
UUUCACUAUACUUUGAGAGAGAGUUACAUAUUACAAGUGUGUUGCUUGAAUGAGUUGAUCCCCCUAUGCUAAUGCUAAAGCUCCUAUUUAUAGCUGUGAGAAUGAACCCUAAAGGCCUUAGGCCCACGAACUCUAAUAAUUGGAUUUAGGCCCAAAACAUAAUACAAUGAUCUUAGUCCCCAAGCUGAACCAUCAUACGUGGCUGCGUGGAGAGGCACUUUGACUUCUUCGGCUGGUUUGGGUAAUGAAAAUAGAACUCCCUCGUUGCCCGUGCUGAGUAGUUCCCUUGAACUGCGCUGGCGAGUCUGUGCCGCCAAGUAGUUUGUUGCGCUGCUCUGUUCCGCGCUGUUCUACUCUGGCUGCGCAGCGCUACUGCGCUGCUCUGGUCCGCGCUGCUAUGCUCUGGCUGAGCAGCUAUGCUCUGCACUUUGGUCAAGGCUGAUUGACUCUUCAUAUUCGUCUGUUAGCAAGUCUUUUUUAAUUAAACCUGCGCUGGUUAGUUUAUAUAAUAAUAAUAACAAUAAUCAUAACAGGGUAAAAUAGGCUUGGAUUACUAAGCACAGCGCUGAUGAGUAUUCCAGUCCUC